GCCUAGCCCUAAACCUUGGUAAUAUAUCACAUACCCUACCCGCCUGGGAACUACGAGCACCAGCUUAAAACCCAAAGGACUUGGCGGUGCUUUAGACCCCCCUAGAGGAGCCUGUUCUAGAACCGAUAACCCCCGUUCAACCUCACCCUUCCUUGUUUAUCCCGCCUAUAUACCGCCGUCGUCAGCUUACCCUGUGAAGGCCUAAAAGUAAGCACAACUGGUACAACCCAAAACGUCAGGUCGAGGUGUAGCGCAUGGAGGGGGAAGAAAUGGGCUACAUUCCCUAUAUUAGGGAACACGAACGGCGCACUGAAACACGCGCCUGAAGGAGGAUUUAGUAGUAAGCGGAAAAUAGCGUGUUCCACUGAAAUCGGCCCUGAAGCGCGC
rnacentral:rRNA from 4 species